UACGUAGGGGGCGAGCGUUGUCCGGAAUCAUUGGGCGUAAAGGGUUCGCAGGCGGUUUAGCAAGUCCGAUGUCGAAUCUAAAGGCUCAACCUUUACCCGCAUUGGAAACUGUUAAACUUGAGUGAAGGAGAGGUAAGUGGAAUUCCUAGUGUAGCGGUGAAAUGCGCAGAUAUUAGGAGGAAUACCAGUGGCGAAGGCGACUUUCUGGCAAUCAUCAGACGCUGAGGUACGAAAGCGUGGGUAGCAAACGGG
rnacentral:rRNA from 1 species